GAUGAACGCUGGCGGCGUGCCUAAUACAUGCAAGUCGAGCGAACAGACGAGGAGCUUGCUCCUCUGACGUUAGCGGCGGACGGGUGAGUAACACGUGGAUAACCUACCUAUAAGACUGGGAUAACUUCGGGAAACCGGAGCUAAUACCGGAUAAUAUAUUGAACCGCAUGGUUCAAUAGUGAAAGACGGUUUUGUUGUCACUUAUAGAUGGAUCCGCGCCGCAUUAGCUAGUUGGUAAGGUAACGGCUUACCAAGGCAACGAUGCGUAGCCGACCUGAGAGGGUGAUCGGCCACACUGGAACUGAGACACGGUCCAGACUCCUACGGGAGGCAGCAGUAGGGAAUCUUCCGCAAUGGGCGAAAGCCUGACGGAGCAACGCCGCGUGAGUGAUGAAGGUCUUCGGAUCGUAAAACUCUGUUAUUAGGGAAGAACAAAUGUGUAAGUAACUAUGCACGUCUUGUCGGUACCUAAUCAGAAAGCCACGGCUAACUACGUG
rnacentral:rRNA from 1 species